GAUGAACGCUGGCGGCGUGCCUAGUACAUGCAAGUCGAGCGAACAGAUAAGGAGCUUGCUCCUUUGACGUUAGCGGCGGACGGGUGAGUAACACGUGGGUAACCUACCUAUAAGACUGGGAUAACUUCGGGAAACCGGAGCUAAUACCGGAUAACAUUUGGAACCGCAUGGUUCUAAAGUGAAAGAUGGUUUUGCUAUCACUUAUAGAUGGACCCGCGCCGUAUUAGCUAGUUGGUAAGGUAACGGCUUACCAAGGCAACGAUACGUAGCCGACCUGAGAGGGUGAUCGGCCACACUGGAACUGAGACACGGUCCAGACUCCUACGGGAGGCAGCAGUAGGGAAUCUUCCGCAAUGGGCGAAAGCCUGACGGAGCAACGCCGCGUGAGUGAUGAAGGGUUUCGGCUCGUAAAACUCUGUUAUUAGGGAAGAACAAAUGUGUAAGUAACUGUGCACGUCUUGACGGUACCUAAUCAGAAAGCCACGGCUAACUACGUG
rnacentral:rRNA from 1 species